rnacentral:tRNA from 1 species
GGAGUUGUGGCUCAGUGGUAGAGUGCUCGCGUAGCACACGCGAGGCCCUGGGUUCGAUUCUCAGCACCA